GAUAGAAUGAUCGCGGCCGCUUUUCGCGCGUGCGCACAAACGGUCGCUGGACCGAUCCCGGGCAUGCGCACUGGCGCUCAAGCGCUGCAAGGGGCGGGGUUCUUUUUUGCCAUAUGGGAGGAAGAACGAGGCUCAGUUCUUUUGUCCGCAGCCCAGUUCUCCCGGUUCUUUUUGAAGCGUUAUUUAAGUUGUAAAAGCAGCAGAUCCUCAUAUGAGAAAAUGGAGAGUUACUGCUUGAUUUGCCCUCGAAUCUGAUUUAGGAGGGGCCCUUCUGAGCUGGAAGCAACUUCAGCCAGUGCCCGACCUGGCCAACCAUUGGCGCCGCCAGGUCUGAAGGACACGAUUUGCCACAACACUGCAGGUUCUUCUAAAACACCAGUUUUAUUCAUGAAACAAUUCAAAAGACUGCAAGCCAAGAGGCCAGGAUUGUCUGGUUGUCAUUGACUCCAUGUAAGCUGUUCUGGGAGCUGCCUUGGUGGGAAAGCUGGGUGCAAAUGCUCCAAAUAAACAAAAUGGUGCCCCCCCCAAAAAAACUUCAUUCUGGGUGGCGCAUUAAGCUGUGAAAUGCCUGAAAAGGUGUGUGUGAUCCAGUUUCCUAUGCAGAAGGGAAAGUAAUUGGACGCUGGGCUUAUUACGCGAUGCUCCGUUUGGCAGGGAAAUGGAAUGAACAGACAUGCACAGUCUUCUACACAAUAGUGUCGUGGCAAAUUCAGAAAUGCAGUUUCUUCCUAAGAAGUCGCACCACACUUCGCAGCCACGUCCCCAUUAACAUUUUCCCGCAAGUCUCCCCUGCUUUCCAUGUUGUCUCUGAGGCCACACUCCACUACAAUAGACAUCGCUAGGAGCCAACCAACAUGAAAAGGGUAUGUGUUAGCUGCCGAGGAGAGUCUUCUCAGUAGUUGACUCACCUCCUUUCAUUCUAAUUGCCUCCAAUCAGCACAGAAGGACAAGGGCUCUCAAUAGCUAACAUGCUCCACUCUCCUUAUUGAUUGGGACCUGGCUGGGACCCUGCUCCCAAAAAAAUAAGGGGUGUGUGAGCCCUGACAGCUAGACUCCUCCUCUUACAGGAAGGAAUAGCUGGCUUGCUCUCUCACU